rnacentral:rRNA from 1 species
AACGAACGCUGGCGGCAGGCUUAACACAUGCAAGUUGAGCGGGAAUGAUUGGUAGCUUGCUAUUAAUCAUGAGAGCAGCGCACUGGUGAGUAACACGUGGGAAUAUACCUAUUGGUGGGGGACAACAAUUGGAAACGAUUGCUAAUACCGCAUAAGCCCUGAGGGGGAAAGAUUUAUUGCCGAUAGAUUAGCCCGCGGAAGAUUAGGUAGUUGGUGGGGUAACGGCCUACCAAGCCGACGAUCUAUAGCUGGUCUGAGAGGACGAUCAGCCACAUUGGAACUGAGACACGGUCCAG